AUUGAACGCUGGCGGCAUGCCUUACACAUGCAAGUCGAACGGCAGCACGGGAGCAAUCCUGGUGGCGAGUGGCGAACGGGUGAGUAAUAUAUCGGAACGUGCCCAGUCGUGGGGAUAACGUAGCGAAAGCUACGCUAAUACCGCAUACGAUCUACGGAUGAAAGCGGGGGAUCGCAAGACCUCGCGCGAUUGGAGCGGCCGAUAUCAGAUUAGGUAGUUGGUGAGGUAAAGGCUCACCAAGCCGACGAUCUGUAGCUGGUCUGAGAGGACGACCAGCCACACUGGGACUGAGACACGGCCCAGACUCCUACGGGAGGCAGCAGUGGGAAUUUUGGACAAUGGGCGCAAGCCUGAUCCAGCAAUGCCGCGUGCAGGAUGAAGGCCUUC
rnacentral:rRNA from 1 species